rnacentral:rRNA from 1 species
UACGGGGGGGGCAAGCGUUGUUCGGAAUUACUGGGCGUAAAGGGCUCGUAGGCGGCCAACUAAGUCGAACGUGAAAUCCCUCAGCUUAACUGGGGAACUGCGUCCGAUACUGAUUGGCUUGAAUCCGGAAGAGGGAUGCGGAAUUCCAGGUGUAGCGGUGAAAUGCGUAGAUAUCGGGAAGAACACCCGUGGCGAAGGCGGUUCUCUGGGACGGUACCGACGCUGAGACGCGAAAGCGUGGGGAGCGAACAGG